AGGUCGUGACAAGCGGCAAUCCUGGUCUGGCUGAUGCUCCAAUUGCACUUGUCCCGGCCUGC
rnacentral:pre_miRNA from 1 species